rnacentral:tRNA from 1 species
UCCCUGAUAGCUCAGUUGGUAAAGAGUCUGCCUGCAAUGCAGGAGACCUUGGUUCAAUUCCUGGGUCUGGAA